rnacentral:rRNA from 1 species
UGGGGAAUAUUGGACAAUGGGCGAAAGCCUGAUCCAGCCAUGCCGCGUGUGUGAAGAAGGUCUUCGGAUUGUAAAGCACUUUAAGUUGGGAGGAAGGGCAUUAACCUAAUACGUUAGUGUUUUGACGUUACCGACAGAAUAAGCACCGGCUAACUCUGUGCCAGCAGCCGCGGUAAUACAGAGGGUGCAAGCGUUAAUCGGAAUUACUGGGCGUAAAGCGCGCGUAGGUGGUUUGUUAAGUUGGAUGUGAAAGCCCCGGGCUCAACCUGGGAACUGGAUCCAAAACGGGCAAGCUAGAGUACGGUAGAGGGUGGUGGAAUUUCCUGUGUAGCGGUGAAAUGCGUAGAUAUAGGAAGGAACACCAGUGGCGAAGGCGACCACCUGGACUGAUACUGACACUGAGGUGCGAAAGCGUGGGGAGCAAACA